UACGGAGGAUGCGAGCGUUAUCCGGAUUUAUUGGGUUUAAAGGGUGCGUAGGCGGUAUUUUAAGUUAGUGGUAAAACGUCGGGGCUUCACCUUGAUUGGCCAUUAAAACUGGAGUACUAGAGUACAGACGAGGUAGGCGGAAUAAGUUAAGUAGCGGUGAAAUGCUUAGAUAUAACUUAGAACCCCGAUAGCGAAGGCAGCUUACUAAGCCAUAACUGACACUGAAGCACGAAAGCGUGGGGAUCAAACAGG
rnacentral:rRNA from 1 species